GACGAACGCUGGCGGCGUGCUUAAUACAUGCAAGUCGAGCGAAUGGAUUAAGAGCUUGCUCUUAUGAAGUUAGCGGCGGACGGGUGAGUAACACGUGGGUAACCUGCCCAUAAGACUGGGAUAACUCCGGGAAACCGGGGCUAAUACCGGAUAAUAUUUUGAACUGCAUGGUUCAAAAUUGAAAGGCGGCUUCGGCUGUCACCUAUGGAUGGACCCGCGUCGCAUUAGCUAGUUGGUGAGGUAACGGCUCACCAAGGCAACGAUGCGUAGCCGAACUGAGAGGGUGAUCGGCCACACUGGGACUGAGACACGGCCCAGACUCCUACGGGAGGCAGCAGUAGGGAAUCUUCCGCAAUGGACGAAAGUCCGACGGAGCAACGCCGCGUGAGUGAUGAAGGCUUUCGGGUCGUAAAACUCUGUUGUUAGGGAAGAACAAGUGCUAGUUGAAUAAGCUGGCACCUUGACGGUACCUAACCAGAAAGCCACGGCUAACUACGUGCCAGCCGCCGCAGUAA
rnacentral:rRNA from 1 species